ACAAAUAUUUACACAACAUGUACCUUUUGGAAGGUAUACCUGAUCUUUAAAGCAGGUAAACAUGUUCUAAAAAUGGACAUAUUAAUUUGAAAUAAUAUAGGAAGUUGAAGCUUAGAUUUUAUGAUAAACUUAAAAGAAUAGCUAGGUACAACUUUUCUGCUUUAUUUAAAUUUUAUUUUCUGGUUUAUUUAAAUUUAGUCAAAUUCUGUUUGUGGCAUUUAACUUCAUACUUGGAAAAAUAUACAGUCUCCCACUGUUGAGGAACUCUUCUGGAGAGUAUAUUUUUAUGUGAUAAUAAGUAGAGAUGAUGAAGAAAUGAUUUUUGUAUGCCAAAGGAUAGAUGUUUUUAUUUAAGCGAGAAUUAAUCAAAUCUGUUUUAAGAAAAUUAAUUACUUGAUUUUGAAAACUGUAAGAUAUACUAAUGAAGUUCUUAUGGAAAAUAACCUAUUUUGGAGUAAUACCCCAAGCUGGCAGAGGCUCAGUGAAACUAAAUAUUCUUAAGUGCCAUUGACACUAUUUAUUAUUGGUCUGUUUUUAAAGCAACAUGACAAUAUAGAGGAAGAGCAAUUAAGAUUCCCAUAUACUUUGACCCUGUAAUUCCAUCCUUAAGAAAUUAUUUCAAAGAAAUAGUUCAUUAGAGAUGAAAAGCUUAUUGUAACAUUGUCUAUCAUAGCAAAACAUGGAAACCACUUCAUUGUCCUGUGUUAGGGGAUUGGUUUACUUAAUGGUGCUACACCAACAAAACUGAAUACUGUGCUGUCAUUAAAAUGUGAGACUGGAGAAAUGUGUUUGUUCUGAUUUAGACAUUCUGUAUAGUAUGAUUACAGUGAUAUUUAAAAUAUGCAAAAGGUAAUAUAGAAAAAUGAAAAUAUAAAUAUGGUUAUGUUUGACUUCAUAUUUUUGUAAAUUGUUAAUGUUAUGAUACCUAUUCAAUUGUUUUUUAAGACAGAAAAUAACCUAUUUUUAUAUCCUGUGAAAUACAUCAAAGUUUUGGACUAUGAAAUUUAAAACAAGCAUGAAGGACUUGAGGAAUUGAAAAAUUGAAAUUGUUAUAUGUAUUUUAUUAAUAAGAAGUACAUGUUACUUUUAUUUUAAGAAUUACAUGGAUUAUUUAUCCCGACUAUAUGAAAGAGAAAUCAAAGAUUUCUUUGAAGUUGCAAAGAUCAAGAUGACUGGCACAACUAAAGAAAGCAAGAAGUUUGCUACACUGCCUCGAAAAGAAAGUGCUGUCAAACAGGAAACAGAGAGUCUUCAUGGAAGUUCGGGGAAAUUAACUGGAUCUACUUCUAGUCUAAAUAAGCUCAGUGUUCAGAGUUCAGGGAAUCGCAGAUCUCAGUCAUCUUCCCUGUUGGAUAUGGGAAACAUGUCUGCCUCUGAUCUCGAUGUUGCCGACAGGACCAAAUUUGAUAAGAUCUUUGAACAGGUACUAAGUGAACUGGAGCCCCUAUGUCUGGCAGAACAGGACUUCAUAAGUAAAUUUUUCAAACUACAGCAACAUCAAAGUAUGCCUGGAACUAUGGCUGAAGCAGAGGACCUGGAUGGAGGAACAUUAUCACGGCAACAUAAUUGUGGCACACCACUGCCUGUUUCAUCUGAGAAAGAUAUGAUCCGCCAAAUGAUGAUUAAAAUAUUUCGCUGCAUUGAGCCAGAGCUGAACAACCUAAUUGCAUUAGGAGACAAAAUUGAUAGCUUUAACUCUCUUUAUAUGUUAGUCAAAAUGAGUCAUCAUGUGUGGACUGCACAAAAUGUGGACCCUGCUUCUUUCCUAAGUACUACAUUGGGAAAUGUUUUGGUGACUGUCAAAAGGAACUUUGACAAAUGCAUUAGUAACCAAAUAAGGCAAAUGGAAGAAGUAAAGAUCUCAAAGAAGAGUAAAGUCGGAAUUCUUCCAUUUGUUGCUGAAUUUGAAGAAUUUGCUGGACUUGCAGAAUCAAUCUUCAAAAAUGCUGAGCGUCGUGGAGACCUGGAUAAAGCAUACACCAAACUUAUCAGAGGAGUAUUUGUUAAUGUGGAGAAAGUAGCAAAUGAAAGCCAGAAGACCCCCAGGGAUGUGGUUAUGAUGGAAAACUUUCACCAUAUUUUUGCAACUCUUUCUCGAUUGAAAAUCUCAUGUCUAGAAGCAGAAAAAAAAGAAGCCAAACAAAAAUACACAGAUCACCUUCAGUCUUAUGUCAUUUACUCUUUAGGACAACCUCUUGAAAAACUAAAUUUAUCUUUUAUAAGCUCUUAACUUGAAGUUAGAGUAAAAUAGCGCGGUGACUCACACCUGUAAUCCCAGCACUUUGGGAGGCCAAGGCAGGCGGAUAACGAGGUCAGAAGAUCGAGACCAUCCUAGCUAACAAGCAUUUCUUUGAAGGUGUUGAAGCUCGCGUGGCACAGGGCAUAAGGGAGGAGGAAGUAAGUUACCAACUUGCAUUUAACAAACAAGAACUUCGUAAAGUCAUUAAGGAGUACCCUGGAAAGGAAGUAAAGAAAGGUCUAGAUAACCUCUACAAGAAAGUUGAUAAACAUUUAUGUGAAGAAGAGAACUUACUUCAGGUGGUGUGGCACUCCAUGCAAGAUGAAUUUAUACGCCAGUAUAAGCACUUUGAAGGUUUGAUAGCUCGCUGUUAUCCUGGAUCUGGUGUUACAAUGGAAUUCACUAUUCAGGACAUUCUGGAUUAUUGUUCCAGCAUUGCACAGUCCCACUAAACCUUGUGAAAGAAGAAAAGAUAACUGAAUGAAGCAUUUGAGUAUACCAGACACUAUACCAAAAUACCAAGCAACUGUUUUGAGAACCCAGACUUAAAAUUUUAUGUAUUAUUAAAUGUUAGAUAAAUGGGUAGUACCAUACUACAAAUAUUUAAAUGCAAAAUUACCAACCUAUAUAGCAGUUUUAUUUGCCCUAUAGGUUGCAUACUAACUUAAGCGUUCAUGUCAUCAUAAAAUGCCUUUAGCAUUUCUCAAUGACUGGAUGGGAAAUUUUCCUUUAUUGCCUAGCUGCUUGUGUUUGAGUGGUUGUCCUAUGAGCAAUGCAUUUGGAGUUCUUCAGCUUUCACUACUUCUCUGUUGCUUGCUAAUCAUGUAACUACUAAAAUACUGUACAAAAUUGUUUUUUCACACUAACAAAUGUGUAUAUGGAGAAGAGGGCUCAUGUGAUGAUCAUUUGUGAACUUAGAUUUUUGAGGAUUAUGUGACUAGUAAUAAAUGUGAAAUAAAUUUUC
rnacentral:sRNA from 1 species